rnacentral:lncRNA from 1 species
UGCCAAGAGUUGGUUUCCACCCGAUGCAAUCGAAAGUCAGAGCGCAGAAAGGGAGGAAAGAUCACAGGCAUUCGUUAUGAUGCCUGUCUGAUGAGGAAUGCCUAGGACGGUGUCUGGGGAUUCUGGAAACUCAGAGAGGCUGGGGAGGACAGCCACAGGUUAAUGAACGCAAAAGAGUGAAAAGCCCCUGGUGAAACUGAUCUGACAAGAGCUUUCUUCUCUGAGCAAGGACGACGCUAUCUUUUGUCCCUUCAUAUACGAAGGGCCUUUUUUGUGCCAGAGCCUGUCCGAGGCCCUUAAGGUCUAGAGAGAGAAGACCUCCAUUAUCUCAAGCUUUCCAAAGUAUCCUUCCUGAUCCGAUGCCACAAUUCUCUGGGGCCAAAAUGCAAAAUGAAGUCACCACGAAGCUGCCGUUGACUCACCACGGGACCCUGGUUUCCAGAAACAGCUUCUUCAAAGGGGUCUGCAGCGGCGGUGGGGAGGCCUGCUCAGAGUCUCUGGGAUUGUUGGAAGGUGGAAGGAGGAGAGGAAGGUGGGGAGGACGCCUGGAGCCCUGCCACCCGAGUGAGGCCGGUGACAGGAAGAAUCUAUCAAUCUUGUGUGCAGAGCCAAAUAUGGUGCUGGGGCUCAAUAGGUAAUAAACAAUGGUCACAUUGCAGGCUCCACAAGGAGAGACAUUACAGACGAGAGCCAGGGGCAGCCUGACGUCACUGUGUGCGGCCGAGCCGGCUGGCUCACCCUGGGCUGCAGAAAUUCCAUAUUUGUCCCUUUUGAGC